rnacentral:tRNA from 1 species
AUUUACUUAGUAUAUUAAGUACUUUUGACCUCCAAUCAAAAAGUUUGGAAAUAACCAAAGUGAAUA